GCCUACGGGGGGCAGCAGUGGGGAAUAUUGCACAAUGGGCGAAAGCCUGAUGCAGCAACGCCGCGUGAAGGAAGACGGUUUUCGGGUUGUAAACUUCUGUUCUUAGUGAAGAAUAAUGACGGUAACUAAGGAGCAAGCCACGGCUAACUACGUGCCAGCAGCCGCGGUAAUACGUAGGAUGCGAGCGUUAUCCGGAUUUAUUGGGUUUAAAGGGUGCGCAGGCGGUCUGUUAAGUCAGCGGUCAAAGCCCGGGGCUCAACCCCGGCCCGCCGUUGAAACUGGCAGUCUCGAGUUGGGGAGAAGUA
rnacentral:rRNA from 1 species